AUUGAUGUACUAAGUGUGUACCAGCAUGAUCUUGGGAUGGUACGGAAAGACCAAAGGCUUGACUCGUCUUGAGUCGGGUCGCUACACCACGUUAACAACGACGACGAGAACAACAACGACGACGACAACAACAACAACAACAACAACAGCAAUAAAAACAACAACAACAAACAACAAACAACAACAACAACAACAGCAACAACAACAACAGCAACAAUAACAACAACAACAACAACAAAAGCAGCAGCAGCA
rnacentral:lncRNA from 1 species